rnacentral:lncRNA from 1 species
GAGGAAUAAAGGCCACCUUGUUUAUUUUCUCUCUCAUCAUACUCUUCCCUCAAAUCAUCUCCACAGUUGCAUUUGAGCAACACAAACAAAACAUUUCUGAUAGAGUUAGAGAAAUGUUUUCUUUAGUAACAACAUCUUCCAUGAGCUCUUGGGAUACACUUGCAUCUCUUCUCAAUCAACUGCAGAAACACUAUUUUCCUCCAAAUUUAGAGUAAGUUUUUUGUUUCCUUUAAUUUCUCUCUCAUUUCCGAUUACAUGCAGAAGAGAGAUCACCUCUUACCCGCCUGACACUGUAUUGGUCAAUUGAUCAAAAUUAACUUUAUGCUAAUCUUAUUUAUUCGCUAUUUAUGAUAUGGGAAUCACAUGAAAAUAUCAUAUAUGUGAAAAUGUCAAUUUCUUGAAUUGUUAGUUUUGUAGUUAACAAGUGGAAAUGUUGGCUUUUAGUUUUAGGCCAAGGGACGAAGGUCAUUCCAGCAGCGACGAUGGGGCUAAAGAAAGGAUGCAAGACGCUGCCGGGAAGAGUUUCGGUGCAAGCAAAGCCGCGGUGGAAGAAUCUGCAAAAUCGGCGGCCAAGGUGGUGGGGGAGGCAGUGCAUAAGACAACAGAGAAGGUGAAGGAUUGUAUUGGGGAUGCUUGUCAUACAGAGCUUUGACAAGGCAGAUUUUAGCUGCAGAACAAGUUUUUGUAGUUUAAAAACUCAUUUUUCUUGAUCAGAGUUUUUCCAACAUGUAAGAUGAUUAAUGAUCAUAUGAAGAAAACUACCAAGAAAUCAUUUCUGUUGUUUUGACUAAAUUUAUAUGAUUUGAUUUUGUCGGCCGAGGACAAGAAAGUGCUGCAUCAAAAAUAAUAAUAAAAUAAGCAUGUCAAAGAAGAAUCAAUUGAAUGAAGAUGCAAUAAGCAAUUUAAAAUAAACCACAAAGAACACCCAGAGGGCAGGUAAACAUUGUUAUACAAAAUUGAUGUAGACAUUUAAAAUUAUAAAAAUAAAUUAUAUUUUGUUUAUAAUAACUUUUUAAAUAGUUUUUUGAUUUGAUCUAUUUCAGUUUCUUUGACAAGGUUUGCCUUUCAGAAAUAAUGAUCUUAUCACUAUAAUUCAGAAGUGGUUAGCAUGAAGUUUAUUUUUGGAUAAGUUGGUUAAUAAUUGACCAAUAGAGUACUGACAUGCAGACGGCCUAUAAUUCAUAGAGACGAGACAAAGAUCUUGGUUGACAUCAUGGAGCUUCUUCACAUGUCUGUCGACUUGUGGGAAGUUUUCUCAAAAUUUAGAAAACAAAAUUUUUGAUUGCUAAUGCCACCAAAGUCUCGAAAGAAACUAUCAGAAAUGCUUAAUGGAAUGACCAAUACAUAGAACAGCAUGGUAUACAAAAAUCUAUAAUAUCCAAAAUUAAGAAAAAAAGUGCAC